ACGGGAGGCAGCAGUGGGGGAUAUUGCACAAUGGGGGAAACCCUGAUGCAGCGACGCCGCGUGAGUGAAGAAGUAUUUCGGUAUGUAAAGCUCUAUCAGCAGGAAAGAUAAUGACGGUACCUGACUAAGAAGCACCGGCUAAAUACGUGCCAGCAGCCGCGGUAAUACGUAUGGUGCAAGCGUUAUCCGGAUUUACUGGGUGUAAAGGGAGCGUAGACGGUCUGGCAAGUCUGAUGUGAAAGGCAGGGGCUCAACUCCUGGACUGCAUUGGAAACUGUCAGUCUUGAGUGUCGGAGAGGUAAGCGGAAUUCCUAGUGUAGCGGUGAAAUGCGUAGAUAUUAGGAGGAACACCAGUGGCGAAGGCGGCUUACUGGACGAUAACUGACGUUGAGGCUCGAAAGCGUGGGGAGCAAACAGGAUUAGAUACCCUGGUA
rnacentral:rRNA from 1 species